rnacentral:rRNA from 1 species
GACGAACGCUGGCGGCGUGCCUAAUACAUGCAAGUAGAACGCUGAAGGAGGAGCUUGCUUCUCUGGAUGAGUUGCGAACGGGUGAGUAACGCGUAGGUAACCUGCCUGGUAGCGGGGGAUAACUAUUGGAAACGAUAGCUAAUACCGCACAAUAUUGACUAUUGCAUGAUAGUCAGUUGAAAGGUGCAACUGCACCACUACCAGAUGGACCUGCGUUGUAUUAGCUAGUUGGUGGGGUAACGGCUCACCAAGGCGACGAUACAUAGCCGACCUGAGAGGGGGAUCGGCCAAACUGGGACUGAGACACGGCCCAAACUCCUACGGGAGGCAGCAGGAGGGAAUCUUCGGCAAUGGACGGAAGUCUGACCGAGCAACGCCGCGUGAGUGAAGAAGGUUUUCGGAUCGUAAAGCUCUGUUGUAAGAGAAGAACGAGUGUGAGAGUGGAAAGCUCACACUGUGACGGUAUCUUACCAGAAAGGGACGGCUAACUACGUG